rnacentral:rRNA from 1 species
UACGAAGGGGGGCUAGCGUUGCUCGGAAUUACUGGGCGUAAAGGGCGCGUAGGCGGCACUGUUAGUCAGGCGUGAAAUUCCUGGGCUCAACCUGGGGGACUGCGCUUGAUACGGCAGAGCUUGAGGAUGGAAGAGGGUCGCGGAAUUCCCCAGUGUAGAGGUGAAAUUCGUAGAUAUUGGGAAGAACACCGGUGGCGAAGGCGGCGACCUGGUCCAUUACUGACGCUGAGGCGCGACAGCGUGGGGGAGCAAACAGG